rnacentral:rRNA from 1 species
CACGGAGUUAGCCGAUCCUUAUUCUUACAGUACCGUCAAGCUCCCUCACGAGGGAGUGUUUCUUCCUGUACAAAAGCAGUUUACAAUCCAUAGGACCGUCAUCCUGCACGCGGCAUGGCUGGAUCAGGCUUGCGCCCAUUGUCCAAUAUUCCUCA